AUGAGCCGCCCGCGGCCAUUCCGCCGGGUAUACGGACGGUGGAUGGUGAUUCCGCCCGCGCGCAGCAGGUUUGUCGAGAUUCGGGAAGGACGUGGGUGUGUUUUUUUUAAUAUAUGCAUACGGUGCAGUGGUUUUCGCAAAUACAGUGGGUAUACGGUGCAGUGGUUUUCGCAAAUGCAGUGGUUUUAAUAUUAUAGACAGGAACAGGUUGCGUCGUCCUCCUUCCUUCCCUCUGCUCCCCGAGAUAUAUCGAACCCGGCCGCUUGCCCCACAGCUCAUCUCCCCAUUCUCAAAUCCAUGGCUGUACUGACCCGGGCUCCGGAAGGGGGCACCGCGGCAUUGCCGUCGCGCAAGGUUUGGAGGCCCAAUCCACACUCAUGCUCUCCGGAUGCUGCCGCUGAGUCCAACGGUGAGGCCUCCGAUGUCGCCCCACCUCCGGCGACGGUGCUGACUCUGCCGCCGAAGGCAACGCCUCGCCGCUCAUGCCCCCACGCCAGUCGCGCGGGGAGGCCGCCGCCAUCAAGCUCCUCAGCUCGCAUCCCAUCGACCCGCCAAACAUGGAUUCGAGGUUUCCUGUGGAUUUCGGAAGAGGGCACAAGAAAAGGUGCAGAGGGAUGGCGAUGACGACUACGCGGCAGCCAGAUCUCACGGAUUGAGAGUUGAAUCUUGCUUAGAGAGGCGGUUGCUGCUGGAUCUGGCAUCCAAGUGCUCCACGUGUUCAGGCUGCAUUGAAGCUCGAGCUCCUGCCUCUGGCUGCGCCGGCUGCAGUGCUUCCUUGGUGGAGCAUCACUCAUUUCUUGGGCAUUGCCUCAACAAGCGGUAACCGGUGGAGGGCGAUGCUGGGCUUGACAGCACUAAGCUGGCAGCUAAUAUGUGAACCUCAUUUAUGAUUCUUGGGUGUCCUUUUGUUGCAAGGAAAAAAAAUCUAACUUUCUGCACUAAAUAGCUUGCUUCAUUAUCUAUAGAAUAGUUAGAUUGAUUCUUGUUUGAGAAAAUGGUGUGCAUAAUCUUGAGGUGACCAAAUUUCGAGAUUUUUUAUUUUAUUAAACACGUGCUGCCUUCAAUUUGACUUUUGCGUAGUUUUUUUGUGGUUUGUGAAGAAUGUGCAUCUAAAGAUUCUAGGCAAAAGUCUAUUUAUGCAUCUCCCAUGUUCAAUAGUUUCGAGAUCUACUAUCUGCCCCAAAAUAUGUGAAUAUUAUCUACUGACCAUUUUUUAUAAUUUUUGUUAUAUGCAAAAUGAUAUGUGCAUGUUCAUGUUAUUAUUAUUUAUAGUGUAUCAAGUCAGAUGCACAGGGGAAGCACUAGCAUAGAGCAAUCUGCAGAUUAUCACUGUUUGAUAUUAUAUACAAAUAAUAACUUAAGAUAUGUGCAUCUUCAGUUGUGCAUGCCCUUUUACCUCAAAUCUUGUGAUGCACAAACAGUUGUGCAUGCCCUCAUGCAAUUAGUUGUACAUGUUGUACCAAAUAAUUGAUUGGAUGUUGCUCUCAAUUCUU